rnacentral:lncRNA from 1 species
AAUCUCACCAUGUUGGGUAAGCUUGCAGGCUCCAAACAUUCUUUAUGACAGACAGCUUCUUUAUCAGCUUGGGCUUACCUUCUUCUUUUUCGGUAUGGAUUUCCAAGUUGCGUCCAACCUUUUGUUUCUCAGCUGUGUCACCUUCCAGGUUGCCUCGGGAGAAAGUCCUGGGUUGCAUCUUUUACUCACUGUCCACUAGUCUCUCAUUUCUCCAACAUCAUCUACUUUCAUCUGUAACUUACAAAAAAUAAAAACAACCACACAACGACAAACAAAAUAACACACAGACACAAUAAAAAUAAAAUAUAAAGCAAUUCAAUUAAAAUAUAAAGCAAUUAAAAAC